AUUGAACACUGGCGGCAGGCCUAACACAUGCAAGUCGAGCGAGCGGCGGACGGGUGAGUAAUGUAUGGGGACUGCCCGAUAGAGGGGGAUAACUACUGGAAACGGUGGCUAAUACCGCAUACUAUCGGAUAACCCAUAUGGGAUUAGCUAGUAGGGGGGGUAAAGGCUCACCUAGGCGACGAUUUCUAGCUGGUCUGAGAGGAUGAUCAGCCACACUGAGACUGAGACACAGCCCAGACUCCAAGGGAAGCAGGAGUGGGGAAUAUUGGACAGUGGGCGCAAGCCUGAUGGAGCCAUGCAGCGUGUAUGAAUAAAGCCUUGUGGUUGUAAAGUACUUUCAGCGGGGAGGCGUUACCGGCAGAAGAAGCACCGGCUAACUCCGUGCCAGCAGCCGCAGUAAAC
rnacentral:rRNA from 1 species